AGUGAACGCUGGCGGUAGGCCUAACACAUGCAAGUCGAACGGCAGCACAGUAAGAGCUUGCUCUUACGGGUGGCGAGUGGCGGACGGGUGAGGAAUACAUCGGAAUCUACUUUUUCGUGGGUGAUAACGUAGGGAAACUUACGCUAAUACCGCAUACGACCUACGGGUGAAAGCAGGGGAUCUUCGGACCUUGCGCGAUUGAAUGAGCCGAUGUCGCAUUAGCUAGUUGGCGGGGUAAAGGCCCACCAAGGCGACGAUGCGUAGCUGGUCUGAGAGGAUGAUCAGCCACACUGGAACUGAGACACGGUCCAGACUCCUACGGGAGGCAGCAGUGGGGAAUAUUGGACAAUGGGCGAAAGCCUGACGCAGCAACACCGCGUGGGUGAAGAAGGCCUUCGGGUUGUAAAGCCCUUUUGUCGGGAAAGAAAAGAAGCAGGUUAAUCCAUCGAUGUUCUGACGGUACCCAAAGAAUAAGCACCGGCUAACUUCGUG
rnacentral:rRNA from 1 species